rnacentral:rRNA from 1 species
GUGUCAGCCUCCGCGGUAAUACGUAGGUGGCAAGCGUUGUCCGGAAUUAUUGGGCGUAAAGGGCUCGCAGGCGGUUUCUUAAGUCUGACGUGAAAGCCCCCGGCUCAACCGGGGAGGGUCAUUGGAAACUGGGGAACUUGAGUGCAGAAGAGGAGAGUGGAAUUCCACGUGUAGCGGUGAAAUGCGUAGAGAUGUGGAGGAACACCAGUGGCGAAGGCGACUCUCUGGUCUGUAACUGACGCUGAGGAGCGAAAGCGUGGGGAGCGAACAGGAUUAGAAACCCUUGUAGUCC